CAGGACGAACGCUGGCGGCGUGCUUAACACAUGCAAGUCGAGCGAUGAAGUUUCUUCGGAAAUGGAUUAGCGGCGAACGGGUGAGGAACACGUGAAGAAUCUGCCCUCCACUUUGGGAUAACACCGGGAAACCGGUGCUAAUACCGAAUAUUGAAACAUAAGUGGCAUCACUGAGUUUUGAAAGAAUUUCGGUGGAGGAUGACUUCGCGGCCUAUCAGCUAGUUGGUGAGGUAAUGGCUCACCAAGGCAACGACGGGUAGCCGGCCUGAGAGGGCGACCGGCCACACUGGGACUGAGACACGGCCCAGACUCCUACGGGAGGCAGCAGUGGGGAAUAUUGGGCAAUGGAGGAAACUCUGACCCAGCGACGCCGCGUGCGGGAUGAAGGCCUUCGGGUUGUAAACCGCUUUCAGUAGGGAAGAAGCGAAAGUGACGGUACCUACAAAAGAAGCACCGGCUAACUAUGUGCCAGCAGCCGCGUUAA
rnacentral:rRNA from 1 species